AUCUGCGUCAGCCUUUAGCUUAUUACCGACGACUAUUAUCAAUAGCGGCGACAAUCUGGAGGGAAGGGUACCCGGUCAUUUUUUAGUGCAUCAUUAGCGGCGACAAUUUCGAGCUUUAGCGGCGACACAUAUAUCGCCGGUAUUAGGUUAGUUGGGAUAAGGUUACCCUAACCGUUGGAUUAGAUAUUUGAUCGAACGGUGUAGAUGUAACGGAAGGGGAAAACGCGGAUUCGGGUGAUCACCCUUUAGCGGUGACGCUAUUACCGGCGACAGGGACCUUUAGCGACGACUCUAUCUAGAAAAGUGAUUUUCUUGUAGUGAAUUACUCUGUUUUUCUUCUUCUUUGUAGGAUGCUAGAGAGUGUGAGAGGGGAUUAAUCGUGCUAUAACCCUAUCAAUGUUCCUUUUAUCAAAACUCUAGAAUUUCAAUACAUUCUACAAAAAAAAUUCAAUAGAUGAUAAGAAUAAUCAAUAAAAUUAAAAUAAAAAUUGUACAAUAAGAUAGAAAAAAUAAACAUAGGGUUCGAGUUGCAAAGAAGGUGAGCUGAUAGGUCUCGUUUGGCAUCUUCGUCUUGGUCAAAGAUUAUAGAGAAGAAAAUACAAAUGUACCUCAGAUGGCUAUUUGAAAGCAAGCGGUGGUGUGUAGAAAGAACCAUCGACUUGGGGGUCUUUGGUGGUGGCAGCAAACAAUGGUCACGUUAGUAAGAUUAGAGUUUUUGGUUAGAGAGUUGAGAGGAUACGCUAUUUAAAGAGAUAGAGGGAGAACCUUGUAGAAGAUACACCGAGCCAUAGAUCGUUUGAUUAUAAGGCCAUAUUCUUCAAUUGCAUUAUAGCCUUAAUUUCUUCAAGAUUCUUCAUACUAUUUGUUAAAAUAGAAAGCACCAAAGAUUUGAAGGCGAUUGGAAGAAGAUGCAAAAUAAAAUUGAAGCCCUUUCAGAAGCAAAAUGGGUUUAUUUGUAGAUGCACAUUGAUGAUUGAUUUGGAAAGGAUAAAGGAUUUGAAUUUGAGGGUGACACAAUCAAAUGGAUGUGUAUGUGUGAU
rnacentral:lncRNA from 1 species